AUUGAACGCUGGCGGCAGGCCUAACACAUGCAAGUCGAACGGUAACAGGAAGCAGCUUGCUGCUUUGCUGACGAGUGGCGGACGGGUGAGUAAUGUCUGGGAAACUGCCUGAUGGAGGGGGAUAACUACUGGAAACGGUAGCUAAUACCGCAUAACGUCGCAAGACCAAAGAGGGGACCUUCGGGGCCCUUGCCAUCGGAUGUGCCCAGAUGGGAUUAGCUAGUAGGUGGGGUAACGGCUCACCUAGGCGACGAUCCUUAGCUGGUCUGAGAGGAUGACCAGCCACACUGGAACUGAGACACGGUCCAGACUCCUACGGGAGGCAGCAGUGGGGAAUAUUGCACAAUGGGCGCAAGCCUGAUGCAGCCAUGCCGCGUGUAUGAAGAAGGCCUUCGGGUUGUAAAGUACUUUCAGCGGGGAGGAAGGGAGUAAAGUUAAUACCUUGGCUCAUUGACGUUACCCGCAGAAGAAGCACCGGCUAACUCCGUG
rnacentral:rRNA from 1 species